AGUGGCCACACUGUUUUGCAUUCCCACCAGCACUGUAUAAGGGGUUCCCUUGUCUCCACAUUCUGGCCAACACUUGCUCUCUCUUGUUUUUUGGACAAUAGCCCUCCUAACAGAUUAAAUAAACUUCUUGGAGCCAAAAAUCAUCACUUUGUAUUCCAUAGAUUACCCGGAGUAUUGCUAAAGUCCUAAAGCAAGAAUCACAAACUCAGGUGGCUACAGGAGUUUAUUAGAGUUGCUCUGUGCGAUAGAACUUUCUGUG